UACGUAGGGCGCAAGCGUUGUCCGGAAUCAUUGGGCGUAAAGAGCGUGUAGGCGGCUCAAAAAGUCUGGUGUGAAAUCCUGCGGCUCAACCCCGGGCGUGCAGUGGAUACGGGCAGGCUGGAGGCAGGCAGGGGAGAACGGAAUUCCCGGUGUAGCGGUGAAAUGCGUAGAUAUCGUGAGGAACACCAGAGGCGAAGGCGGUUUCCUGGACAGUUACUGACGCUCAGGCACGAAAGCAUGGGGAGCAAAAGGG
rnacentral:rRNA from 1 species